rnacentral:rRNA from 1 species
AAUAAUAUUAUAUUUAUAUAUUUUAAAAAAAAAAAAAAAAAAUUAUAAUUUUAUAUAAAAUUAGAUAAAUGAUAAAAUUAAUUAAAAUAUAUUCAAUAUUAUAUUUUUAAUAAUAAAUAUUUUUAUUAAAAUUUAAUAAAAAUAAUAAAAGUUAAUUUAAUGAUAUAAAAAAAAAAAGUGCCAGCAUUUGCGGUUAUACUUUUUAUUUAAAUUUUAAAAUUUAAAAAAAAAUAAAAAUUUAUAAAUAAAAAGUGAAAUUUUAUUAAAUUAUAUAUUAAUAUUAUAUAAAAAACUAGGAUUAGAUACCCUAUUAUUUUAAAUAAAAUAAAUUAUUAUUAUUUUAAAUAAAAAAUUAAAUAGAAUGGCAGUAUUUAUUAAAAUUAGAGGAUUUUGUUAAAUAAUAGAUAAUACACUUUAUAAUUUAUUUAAUUUUUAUUUUAUUGUAUAUUGUUGUAAUAAACUAAUAUAAAUUAAUUUUAUUAUUAGUUAAAAUUUUAUUUAAAAAGUAAUUCAAAUAAAUAUGCAUAUCAUAAUUAAAAUUUAAAUGAAAUACAAUUUAAUAAUAAUUAUAAAUGGAUUAAUUUUUUAAAAAAAAUUAUAAAAUUGGAUUUAAUAGUAAAGUUUAAUAAAUAUUAAAUUUGAAUUAAUUAUUAAAUAUGUACAUAUUGCCCGUCGUUUUUAAUUAAUUAAAAUAAGUCGUAACAUAGUUAAUAUAUUGGAAAAUAUAUUUA